rnacentral:tRNA from 1 species
AAGUAAGAAGCGAUUUAUUGCAAUUAGUUUCGACCUAAUUUUAGAUAUGUAUAUCCUUAUUUU